ACUAUUUUGGCAGAUAAGUGCAAUGGAUUUAGAAUCUUUAAAUGUAGAUUUUUCUACAAUUAGUA
rnacentral:tRNA from 1 species